GACAGCCACCUCUGAGAAGCGUUAGGCAGCCCGAGAAGGGGAAAUCCUGAAGGCAGUGGGGGGAGGUGGCCACCAGCGACUUGCCACCCCCUCCCGAGACAGAGCCAGCGCAGGAGGGUGUGACCAGCAUCAGGGAGGCGGGGAGACACAGUGACAGGACGGUGACAGUUUGGGUGUCCUUUCCGCCCGUGCGCGCGACGGGACGGAGGGGCAGGGGUUUCCUCCUUGGGAACGCUGUCUGUCUGGCAGCCAAGGAAGGCCGCGGCCUCUGGGGAUCCCCGCCCGUAUCGAGCGCCCCUUGCCGAGGGAACCUGGCUCGGCGAGCGGUGCGCGCAGGCUCGGAGGCGUGAGAGCGGGCCGGGCGGCGGCGCGGCCGGGAGCGGGUGACUCACCGGGCGGGGGCGGCUGGGGGCGGCUAGGGGCGGCCGCGGAGCCAACUGCAGCAGCAGCGGGCCCAGCCUGCCCCGCAACAGCCAGCGCGGCUCCUGGAGGGAAACGAGCAAGGCGGCCCCGCAGGUGUGGCGCGGCCCUGGGAGGGCGCGUGCGAGCGCUGCUUUGUUUGGUGCCCGCACAGCCCCGGGCUCCAGGCCUGAGCGCCAACCUUCCCGAGCUGAGUCACGGCUGCAGAGCCCGAGGGCGGCCAUACGGCCCCGCCCGGAAGGAUGAGGCCCCUUCCUGAAGCUGGCGAGUCCGAUGCGGUGGCAGGGACAAAAGCCAGGGGAAGGUGGCUUCUAUUCUACAAAGCCCUUUAGGGAAGGGGGGAGUCAGGCCGCCCUCACCCAGUGCAGGUCCGUCACGAUGGUCACCCAGAGCACUCACGCAGAAAGCCAGCUUGCAGCCGCCAGCCCUGAGGAUGCCGCCCCCAAAGGGCUCAUUGCUCUAAUCACCCGUCCAGGGGCUUGAGGCAAAGCUCCAAGACAGACCUGUAGCAGCAUGGCCCAAAAAGUUCCUCUGCUGCCCCAGUCCCAUACCUGCCUGAGGUACGGGGGUUCAGGCUGAGUCGGCUGACCUGGAGUCAUCUGGAAGCCUUGUCAGAAAUGCAGAUUCUGCAGUGCUGUUCCCAGAGGAUGAGAUUCAGCAGAACUGGGUGUUGGAUAUUAUAUGAAGAGAUUUGCAAGUGUUAUUUUACGUAAUUCGCACUUUACAAAGGAGGAAACUGCAGCGCAGGUACCAAGGUUGCCCCAUCUCGGUCCAGGCCUGCUCCCGGCGAGCCACUCGCCCUUGACCACGCCUCCUCUCUCCUGAUUGGCUGUCAGGCAUGAGUCAGAAGGAAGCCAUCUGCAACCCAAGGAGAGAGCUCUUGCCAGACUCUGACCCUGCUGGCAUCUUGAUCUUGAUUUUGGAUUUUCUAGCCUCCAGAUCCAUGAAAAAAUAAAUUCCUUUCCUGAUGUUUAUAAUAUUUUGUUAUGGCAGAUUAAGCUCACUAAGACAAUAAUCAAAGACCUAUAAAACCGUGAACUUCUUGAGACAAUGAGGAUGCCUCUAACAGACUUGGGAAGAAAUCCUGCACAAAGAGCUGGGGAAAAAAGGGAAGAAAAGCACAUAGAAUACUCCUUCAAGGCAGGCAUUGGCAGACCUUCCACCGUGCACCAGGCUCUGUGCUAAGAUUCACCCUGGAGUAACCCUGCCUCUGGGGGUGAAGUUGCUAUAUCUGGCUGCGUUUUGGCCAGCCGACCCUCUAGGCAGCCCUUAAUUCUUGCUUCUCAAACUUACUUCCAAGGACAGAGAAAGAUGACCACUGCCCUCACCCCACUAAAGAAGCCCCAGCACUUAGCAAGCACUUAUGGCCCAGAGCAGACUGUCUCUACUUCAUUUCACUCUCCACACCCAGACUUGGACCACACUUGGAAAAGAACCAGCCAGUCCUGGAGGCUGCAUAUUGUGGAUAGCAGGACUCCACUCACAUCUCAAAGCUCCUCCCUGCCCAUUCCCAUGGUCCCUCCAGCCCUUGGGCAAUACUACCAAUAAGAAGGAGAAAUGAGCUGGAUUUCACUUCCUUUGGAGCAGGUGUGAAUAAACAGAAUUGUCCCAAACUUGGGCAGCAGAAGUGGGGAAAGAAGAAAGGCAACCGGCCAGGCGCGGUGGCUCACGCCUGUAAUCCCAGCAUUUGGGGAGGCCCAGGCGGAUCACCUGAGGUCAGGAGUUUGAGAACAACCUGGCCAACAUGGUGAAACCCAUCUCUACUAAAAAAAUACAAAAAUUAGCCAGGCAUGAUAGCUACUUGGGAGGCUGAGGCAGGAGAAUCUCUUGAACCCGAGAGGUGGAGUUUGCAGUGAGCUGAGAUCAUGCCACUGCACUCCAGCCUUGGUGACAGAGCGAGACUCCAUCUCAAAAAAAAAAAAAAAAAAAAAAAACCAGAAGAGAGCAACCAAUACUUAUGAAGCCUCUGAUAGUUACUCAAAUGCCACCAGUAAACCCACGAGACGCACAGGCUGGGAUUGGUAAGGCAACUUGCCCAAGGUCACCCAGCUAGAAAAGGCUAGAGGCGGGCGAGAGGGGAGCUCCAGAACCACCCCAAACACACUGCCUCCCCCACACCACUGCCUCCCCAACACUGCCUUCAAGAAAGAGAAAUCGAAGGACCUGGACAAUUUGCAAGCUGACUGCUCAGCUUCUGGACUCAUCCACCGCGUUUGUCAGAAGUCCCUGCAGAUGCCCGGCCACUAUGCCAGUACUCUCGUCUCGGGCUGCACUUGGAACUGGGUGGACAGCUGUAGAAGGACUACUAGUGCCUGGGCCCACCCCUUCUCCCCACCCCCAGUGCCUCACUUAACUGUCUGAGAUUCAGCCUAAGCACUGGGCUUUUAAAGUUCCCAGGUGACCGUUGCCCUCCGGGAUCCAUAUUCUCUUCAUCUGUAAGAUGGGGCUAAUGAUGUCUCCCAAACAGGGUGGUUGUAAGGAUGAAGUGUGAGGGGCCUAGGAAGGGAGGCCUGGAAAGAGGGAAGAGGACUGCUCAUCGCUGGGCUGAGGCUGCAGCCACCCUGUGCUAGGUGCUGUGCUACAGCCUGGGUCACUCUGCCAGGACCUAUAGGCUCCCUGCUUGGGGCAUGGUGCCCUGACCCUCGGCUCACGUCUGCCCAGAUCCUUACAGCUGAUGGAACCCUUUGCUCCAAGAGACGAGGUUGGCACACCGUGGUCUCAAUAAAUGUUUGUCGAGUAAACAGAUGAAGAUGUCCUUCGAUCUUCACAACAGUUUUGAGAAGCAAAAUGAAAAAGGACUCUCCCUUGACCCAAUAGAAAGGGAAGUUUGGACUCACCUCAAGGUGCUGUCACUAGCCAUGUGUUCCAGAGCAGCAACAUAACUUCUCAAAGCCUCUGUCACUUCAUUUGUAAAGCAGGACUUUGUCACUAUUGCUAGGUUAUAGGACUAUCCUGAAGAGCUGCUGAGACAACAUACGGGGGAAACAUUUCUAUAAAUUAUUUUUUGAUGAGGGAAUUGAGGUUUAUAGGGGUUAAGUGACUUGCCCACAGUCAAUCAGUAAAUUGUGAAGCCAAAACUUAAACUCGGGACCAGAGAGUUCCUGGGCGUGAGACAAACAAACGAACAAACAACAACAACAACAACAAAACCCCAAAACACUCAAAUAAUAUGUGGUUGCAGAGAAGGGAUGCAGAUAUUUGAAGAACAGACCUGAGGCUGUGUCAGCCCCCAAGGCACAUCUGAUGGGGAGUGUGUUGAGUUGAACUUUGCAGGAGGGAAGGGCUAGGCCUUUGGUAAAGUUUUUUUUUUUUUUUUUUUUUUUUUGAGACAGGGUCUCCCUCUAUCACCCAGGCUGGAGUGCAGUGGCACCAUCACAGCUCACUGCAGCCUCGACCUCCUGGGUUCAGCCAAUCCUCCCACCUCAGCCUCCUGAGUAACUGGGAUCACAGGCGCAUGCCACCACAUACCUGACUAAUUUUUUUUUAAUAGAGGUCUCACUGUGUUGCCCAGGCUGGUCUCAAAUUCCUGGGCUCAAGCAAUCCUCCUGCCUAGGCCUCCCAAACUGCUGGGAUUACAAACAUGAGCCACUGCGCCUGCCAGUGAAGAUGCUUUUUGAUAGGAGGACCAGCCUAGGAGAAAAUUCAGAGAUGAAUAAGCAAGGUAUUUUGUUUGUCCACAACAGAGAACCUGACAGGGAAGCUAAGAGGGAGGAAGCAGCUGUGGGGGAGGAACAUUUGUCAUUUCCAGAGGACACUGCUGCCAGGAGAGGGGCUCUCUGUAGCCCAGAGAGCCGUGGAGAGAGGGCUCCCCAACUCACAGCGCAGGAGGAGGGGAGUCAGAGCUGCUCUGCGCACAAGCUGCCCUGGAGGCACACUAGACAGGGAAGGGGCCGUGCAUCACUGACCACCUGUCAUGUCACCUGUGAUCACAGUAGGAUCGGGUGAAGGCCUCAUACCCCCUGGUGUGAUUGUCAUUUUCCACCCCAUUGUACAGGUGGGGCUCGGAGAGUUAGGUCACUGGCCACUUCCUAGAAUCCCUCCACCCCAACACACCCUGGCUGCCCCCCUAGUGCAUGCUGGGACCCCUCCAGCCCCAGAAUCCACAUGUCUGCUCUCCCCAGUGAACUCCAGGGUAGCUCCAUGCGGGGAGCCUGGCAGGCAGGCUGGCAUUACCUAAUUGCUGGCCGGCUUCUUUUAUCCCUUCAUUUUUUCAAGCUGCCUGGUUCUAAAAGUCUCAGACAGACAAAUGAGACUCCAGCCUUGUUCUGUUCGAGCUCCAGCAAAAGGAGGAGAUCACAGGCUGUCGCCUCAAUGGGGCAACAGCCAGAUCUAAAGGCACAAAGCACUGGGGGCAGCGGAUGUCUUUAGCGAACGACAAAGCCCAGGCCAAUGCCCUACUUACGGCUGAGACUUUUCUUCUUGGGCUGUGUCUUGUGCUGUGAGGUGCCUGGGGUCAGCACUGCUAGUGCCAGGACUUGAUCAUCAGCCAGCCUCCCUGGGGAGAUGAGCCCUUGUUAGGGCCAAACCUCAGCAUCCUAAAAGCCUCUCCUACCUCAACCAGGCAGGUGUUUCUGGGUUCAGGGGAGAAAAAUCUAGUCAGAGGAAUGCAUACUGCUGCAUGGCCUCAAACAGGCCUUCAGGCUUGGGGACUGGAGCCGACUCCCCAGGGCAGAAUAGGUACAGGCUGCCCAGCUGUAAAAGCAGGGCUCUGCCCCUCUGGGCUCCAGCUCCAAGGCUGUGGCACCUACCUGGGAAAGAAAAGUCCCUGGAGAAGCCGAGCAGAUCUGGCCUCGUCCUGUCCUUGUCCUGGCUGGUAGGUGGAGUGGAUAGAGCGUCCCUGACUCCCUCCUUGAACUGUGAGCAUCUCCAGGGCGGGAACUGUCCCCCAUAGGACUUGCUAUCUCCUGGCACAUGUUAGCAUUUACUGGGGCCAAGCACUGUUCUGAGUGUUUUAAGUAAACUAAUCCACUUAAUCCUCACCUCAACCCUAGGAGGUGUUACUCCCAUUUUUCAGAUAGAGAAACUGACACACAGAAAGAUUAGCUUCAAAAAGCUCAUAAAUGGGGAAUUGAAUCCAGGCAGCCUGGCUCCAGAACCCAAAUUAUUAGCCAUUAUACUGUACUGAAUAAGUAAAUAAUACAUGAAUAUAUGAAGAAAGGAAUGAACGGCUUGUAGAGAGAAUGACAUGAAAGUUCUCUGUUCAAAAGUAUUUCCUCUAUUAACAGUUUCAGGGCCUGUGAAUGCACUAUUGAAAUGCACAUUCAGUUUUAACUAAUGUGCUAUUCUCUUCAAAAAUGCUCCUAAGAAAUUGGGGUGAUAGCAAUUAUUGGCCAUGCUCUGUGGCCCCCGGAAUGUCUAGGGGAGGCCCAAGCUCUGGGAAGAACUUAAGCUAAUACCCGAGGAGGGAGAAACAAGGAGUUGGGUGUUUCUGCAGAGAACCCUGCUAGUUAUAUUAAUGAUGUGGCACAGGGACAGGAACACAGACUGUGAAGCCUCUGAGCUGGGUGUGUCUCUCACUGGCUUUCGGGCCUGGGGUGAGUCAUGCGGCCUCCCCGAGCUCCAGUGGCCCCAUCUGCCAGGGAAAUGCUGGUCCCUACCUGAUGGCUUAUGGUUAAAUAAGCUAUUGUAGUUAAUGCAUCUGGCACAGGAUAGAUGGUCAAUAAAUGGUAGCUGCUAUUGUUAUUAAACAAAUUAUAGGCAAAAAACUCAAGUCAGUAAUGAUCACCAGUCUGAGCCCCCUUCUUAAAGUGAUGCUUGCACUGGUGACCCUAUUUCUGGUCUCCUGGACACUCCAGUCAUGAUACUCCAAGGGCAAUAGCUUCUUCUCCCAGUGUCUUUCCUGGUUGUCUUCAUCCCUUCUCUUGCCACUGCCUUGGCCUGGGUUCCCACUGCCUGUCACCGGGACUCAGUCAAGUCUGAGAGAUUGAGAGCAUCUAUGAUAAAGCCAGCUGGAAGGAGCCCUGCUAAGCAGCCACCUCUGCUAAGCAGCCACCUCUGCCAAACAGUCACCUCUGCCAGUGUCCUCCUCUUUUUCUGGCUUCAACUCUUGGCACUCUAGCUUCUCUUCACUCCCCACCCCCUUUUCUCACUCUUCUCUCUCUGAUCAUUCCAUGGGUCUCUUUGGCUUUGGUUGAGCUCUAAUUAAGUUCCACAGCAGGUGGCAAUGAAGACAGCUUCUCUCCUGCAAGUGCUCAUCAAAGGGUUGUGCACAAGAAACUUGGACAAGAGGUAAAAAGAAGCCUGGCCCCUGGGGACAAGGAUGGGGCAGUCGGAGAACUCCUCGUGCAGCCAGUGCUCCGAAGGUGCAGAGUGAAGAUUUGCAGACUUGCUGUGUAUCCCGGCAUAAUGCCGUUUGUCCAUCUGCCACACUAGGACAGAAACUCUUCAUUCUGAGCAUAUGGAAGCUGAGAAGGAGGUCGGAGGCAACAGGAGCGGGAGGAGACCGGAAAGGACCAGGACAAAAUGGGGCCCUGGCACCUUCCUGGACAUGCGGCAGAGCCCCGUGGAAUCAGGGACUGAUGCAAGUGGAGUACUUAGCACACUGCCUGGCACAGAUGAGUGCUCAGUGCAUGCUGGCCUGUGGUGCUGGGUGUUAAGAGGGGCAGCUUUUAUUGGAAAGAAUAAAGAAUCAUAAGCAUAAAACAUCUGGUCACAGCCUCUCCUGCUGCCAGGGCCCUUGGUGGCUUACCAUGGUCUCAGGAGCAAAGGGCCCCCUACCAGAGCUUGAAAACCCACACAGUCACCCCAUCGACCUCCUGGCCUCCGCUCCUGCUGCUGCUCACCUGUGCCAGCCAGAAGGAAAGUACUUCCUUCAGUUCUUCAAGGGCCUCUUCUUGUCUCAAGACACUUGCACUCAGGAACUUGCUCUGUUGCACUUCCCUCCACCUAGUCAAGGCCUAAACAGCCUUAUUCUGACAGGUCAUAGUUCGCUUCCUUAAGAAAUGACCUCUGACUGUUCCUGGUUCCCACCCCAUCACGUGUGUCCCUUUGUGACCAUCUCUCCA
rnacentral:lncRNA from 1 species